rnacentral:rRNA from 1 species
CUACCAAGGAUUCCCCUAGUAACUGCGAGUGAAGCGGGAAAAGCUCAAAUUUGAAAUCUGGCAGUCUAUUUUUUCUUCUUUGGCUGUCCGAGUUGUAAUCUAGAGAAGUGCUUACCUGCACUGGACCAUGUAUAAGUCUCCUGGAAUGGAGCGUCGCAGAGGGUGAGAAUCCCGUCUUUGACAUGGACCGCCAGUGUGUUGUGGUGUGCUCUCAAAGAGUCGAGUUGUUUGGGAAUGCAGCUCUAAAUGGGUGGUAAACUCCAUCUAAAGCUAAAUAUUGGCGAGAGACCGAUAGCGAACAAGUACCGUGAGGGAAAGAUGAAAAGGACUUUGGAAAGAGAGUUAAACAGUAUGUGAAAUUGUUGAAAGGGAAACGCUUGAAGUCAGUUAUGUCGGCUAGGGAUCAACCUAGCUCUUUUGCUGGGUGAAUUUCCUAUUCUGACAGGCCAACAUCAGUUUCGACUGCUGGAAAAGAGCGGAGGGAAUGUGGCACCUUCGGGUGUGUUAUAGCCCUUUGUCAUAUGUGGCAGUCGGGACUGAGGGAUGCAGCGUGCCGCGAGGCUGGGUUUCGACCACGUUCACGCUUAGGAUGUUGGCUUUUAAUGGCUUCAAUCGACCCGUCUUGAAACACGGACCAAGGAGUCUAACAUGCCUGCGAGUGUUUGGGUGGAAAACCCUUGCGCGCAAUGAAAGUGAAAGUUGAGAUCCCUGUCGUGGGGAGCAUCGACGCCCGGACUUGAGCUUUUAGCGACGGAUCCGCGGUAGAGCAUGCAUGUUGGGACCCGAAAGAUGGUGAACUAUGCCUGAAUAGGGCAAAGCCAGAGGAAACUCUGGUGGAGGCUCGUAGCGAUUCUGACGUGCAAAUCGAUCGUCAAAUUUGGGUAUAGGGGCGAAAGACU